rnacentral:lncRNA from 1 species
GCUCAACACGGUGGUGUUCGCCAGGUUCGUCUUGUUCUUGGAUUUUCGCUUGCUUCUUUGUUUCUUCUUUCUGACCGAGCAGGUGAGCUGAUUUUGGAUUUGUCAUCCUAGUUUCUGCAGCUGUUGGAGGAGGACUUGGUGGUGCUAAGGAAUGGAGUACUACAAGGACGGACGCCGCUUCCGUUGAACUCAGGUGAGCUUGCGAAUUCGCGAUGGCCUUGGUGAUUUUACUGUUACUGCUACUCUAUUAGUCAUGGAAUUCGGGAGAUCUUGGGUUCGAAUUUUAUUUUCUGGGAUUUUUAUCGGGGUGUAUGCAACUGUAUAACUGUAAAUUGGCUUGCCCCUGGGUGUUCUUGGUUGGUGAUUCGACAAUGAUUUGAAGCGGUCUGGCUUAUCAGCCGGUGGUUAGGUGGAGUCGGGUUAUUAUAGUUUCGGUAUAGGAGGGGGAAAGGUGGCACAAAUCUGGGGGCAGGGCAUGUUUCUGCCUGAUUGAUCCAAUCAUUUUUUUUCUUCUGGUAUCAAUCAAUCAUGCCAGCAUCUGAAACGGAUUAUCAAAUCUGAAUUGGCACUGUUUUUUAUAUAUAAUGAUACCAUACAGCUCGAGAUGAACAUAUGCUUGACUGAAUAGUUGUUCAUACAUCUGGAGGUGUUACUAUGAGUACAAUUACCAUUCAGAAAGAAAGAAACUAUGAGUAAAAUGCAGAGAACGCACUUCCAGACUAUCAAUCAUGCAUGCCCAUAUCAUUUGCUUUGCUUAAUGUUUCUUAGUUUAACUUACUAAUCUCUUGUCUGUGUAAUUUUUGCUGCCAGAAGGGAUCCAAAUAGGUUGCAACUGGGAGUAAAAUAUGUGUCUAAACUGAUUGUCUGGUGCGAAAAUCGACGACCAAGAUCCAGUUAUGUGUAUUGUAGGACAACACCUUUCAUUAGAUACACUUUGAUGCUAUUUCUAGCAUGAAUUUCUAUUUCAGACUUAGAACUAAAAUUCUGAACAACUAAAAUCGCUCUUGUUCCUUAUUUUUGUAGGGCGGUUCCUCUCGUUUUACUGGUUCGUCCGCUCCUUCAUGAUUGAUGUACUGGUUCUGGCCGCUCCUUCGUGAUAGACUCGGUUAACUCUUUGUUGGCCUUGUGGGUCGUAAUUGUUUCUCUCCAUAUGCAUAUACUUCCUGAUGUAUUGCUCAUGCUCAUUCUGUACCGAGAUAGACCUAAUAUCCGUAGGGUUGUAGAUUGAUUUCCCCUGAAAAAGCUAUGCUUCUUUCCUUGGAUGAUAAGCAUGUUCCGCAGCUAUGUGGAAUUCUUAAGAUAAACGGUCUUUAGUUUCUUUUGGUGCAUCUGCGUGCACAUAACAGUCUGUUAGUUUCUCAGUCUGUUAGUUUCUCUUUAUAUAAUGAAAAAAUAUAUGUUGUUGUCGCUUGUUUAUUAUUAUCUAUCAUUUGUAUAUUGAUUUUUAGGCCACCAGUACUUGUAUGUAUAAUUUCUAGUCUCUUGAAUGAAUAAUUUUUCUUUAUGUGCCAUGCGUCUUGUGUUACUACAUACAUCUGUCGUGAAGUACAUGGUUCUGGAACUAUGGUAACCCGUAGUUUGCUCUACCCGUGAUAGUAGGAUGAUGGAAGCAUCACUACUGAAUGUAGUUCAUGUUUCUUCAUAUAAUCAUCAUUUACUAGAGUUUCUCUUCUUCUUGCUACUACUUGGUUUUUGACGCCACUAGCUUGUACUGAAAUGUAAACACAUCAUAUUGUUCUCAUCAGACCAGUGUACCUUGAGCAUGCAAAGUAAACACAUGCUACUCCACUUGUCUAUUUUUACAUAAACUUUUGUUUAAAUAAACCGAGCUAAUAAACCAAACGGUGCAAACACAUUCAGUUCUGAAAUUUGUCUACUCCACUUGUUUGAUUGUACUGAAACCUUUGUUUGCAUGUUUCUAAAAUGCAGAGAAGAACACCCUGUGUUCUGGUAAAAUAUUUGUUUGCUAUGAUAUGAAAUUCCAUGAUGUGUGUGUUGUUUCAGUUUCUGUAGCUACAACAAAGUCCUAGUUUACUCUAUACUUGCUUUUGAUGAUUGCUGGCUAAAUUUACAGUUGAAAUAAUAGUAGCCAAGGAGUAGAUACAAGACGUAUUUACCAUAUUUUGCAUGGAAUGUUAAAAAUCAGUUUUGUUGUGGUUUCUUGUUCUGUGAGUCAAAUUGCAUAAGAUGGGAGUAUCACAACAUGCAUAUACUGAAGCUGGGAGUAUCACAACCUGAAUGUGCAGCUUAUGUAGUUUCUGUAUUUUUGUUAAAGCAUGGAGUAGCUUCUAUAGUUUCUGUAUUUUUGUUAAAGCAUGGAGUAGCUUCUAUAGUUUCUGUAUUUCUGUAUUUUCGUUAAAGCAUGGAGUAGCUUCUAUAGCUUCCUCACAAGUUAAUGCUUUGCUCGUCCGGGUGUGUGAUAAUGCCAUUUGUCUUGUGCAAUCAGAUUACAUUUCUGUUUGUUAUGGUAAUAUAAAAAAUAUUCGUGCUGUCAAAAUUUUCACAGUGCGUGUCUUUCAUUUCUUUAAUUUGAUUGUUUCCCUUGUAUUCAAUAUGCUUCUAGUGGCUGAUCCUUCCAUUUUUGUUGUGGCAUCUUUAUUUUCACAGGUGUUGUGUGUUCUGGAAGAUGGAAGAGGAAGAAAUUGUUGAACUAAAUUUUUUGUAUUCUGUUUUGUUGUAUGUAUCAUUUGAUAGUUUUGUAUAGGAACAAGUGAUACUAUUUUGUAGGGCUUUAUGGCCUAUGAUGUAAACAUAUUUAGUGCUGAAAUAUGAAAUUAUUUGCAAAAUUUGUCAAAAAGGUGGAUCAUAUGUAUGAAUAUGUGAAUGGGCUGAAAAGAGUAAUGGACCAACUCCAGGAUUGAAU